rnacentral:rRNA from 1 species
UACGUAGGGUCCGAGCGUUGUCCGGAAUUAUUGGGCGUAAAGAGCUCGUAGGCGGUUUGUCGCGUCUGCUGUGAAAUCCCGAGGCUCAACCUCGGGUCUGCAGUGGGUACGGGCAGACUGGAGUGCGGUAGGGGAGAAUGGAAUUCCUGGUGUAGCGGUGGAAUGCGCAGAUAUCAGGAGGAACACCAAUUGCGAAGGCAGCUCGCUGGGACGUAACUGACGCUGAGACGCGAAAGCGUGGGGAGCAAACAGG